UCUUUUUUUCAAGUUUUUCUCUCUCUUCUCUCAAUUUCUCUCUCUCGGCUCUCCUUCUUCUCUCUGCUAGGGUUCUUGAUUUUUCAAGAACAAGAUGAUCUUCAUCUCUUCCGGUUAGACGCCACCUUGAUACCCGGGUUCCGGCGCGGUGACUGCCGGACCGUCACGGCGCCGCCGCCGGAAACUUUUUUUUUUAUAAAGAAAAAAAAAAUUCCAAAUCUCUUCCUAAGUUCUUAUCUACUAAUUUUAGACCCGAAUUAGGCUCUCAAAACCGCAAAACCCAACUAAACAGAUUCAAACAAAAAAAGCUUUAGAUCUAUUCUUUUUUAAUCUUUUUACUAUGAAUCCAGUUCAAAAAUCAAACAAAUACAUCAUAUAUACCUCAUAAACACAACAAUCAGAGGUUAGAAAAUUAAAGAAAAUAGUUACCUGAACUGCAGUGAGUUCCACGAAUCAGAAAACUUUCUCUUGCUACUGGAUUUUUGUGGUUUGGGUAAAGUUGAUGUUUAGAUAUUUUUUUCGGUUCUGGUUUCUCGGAGAUUCUUCUGUGUUUGGUGCAAGGUCUGUGUUGCUGAAUAUGGAGGCAGUGGUUACAGGAUUAGGGUUUUUUGUUUCUGGUUGUUGUAUAGCUUUUAGUUCUGCGGGUAAUUUUCUCACGAGUGUGUGAAGAAGCAGAUCAUUUUUUGCAGUUUGGUUAGGACUGGUUUUGAAUCGGUUUGCUGCUAGACAACUAUCAAGUUAUUAUAUUGUAAUGUCAUAUUUAUAGAUUGAAUUUUAAAUGUUUAUGUGGUAUUGGUUAAUUGAAUACAUGUGAACAUCGUUGAACAUUCUAAAAAUAGUUUGAAUCUGGUCAUGUAGCCACAUAUCAUAUUUGAGUGGUGAUCAAUUAAAUAAUCAAACAACACAAAUCCAAAUUUUGCUCAAUACCUUAUGUAUUUCUUGUUUCUAAUUCAAACUUCAAGAAGUGUUUCAAAUCGAAAGAUCUUAGAUAGAUAAACAUUGUGACCACAAGAUGUAAGUUUUAUUUGAAUUUCUGCUGAAAAUAUUGUUGCUUAGUUGUUGUAUAUCUUUUGAAUUGGUUCCUCAUAAUUCUUGAGUGUGAAGUUGUAAUCUUCUUUAUGUACUGGUCUGUGUCUACUAUAGGCAGGUUAAAUGAUUGAUAUAGUUAGAUAGUUCAUGUGGAUAUUGAUGCUGAAUGUCUUGAGAUAGGGAGUGGAAUUGAUGAUAAUAUAAUGCUAUGGAUUACAUUUGUAGGAGGGUAUUGAUAGUGGUGAUUCAAAGAAAGAGGAGUUGACUGCUAGCUGCGGAUUAUGUUAAUACACCUACAAGAAAGGCCUUCAGGAAGAGUUCGGCUGAUUCAAUUGUUGUGAAUGAUGGUGACGGUUGUGCUUUGUCAAUUACUAAUAAUCGUGAAUGUGUGAAGAUUGAAAAAUAUGAUUUAAGUGUUCAAGAAUAGGUGUGCAAGUCCAUGAGUUUAAUGACGCCAACAAGCUUACAAGGCCCUCACAAGUUGUCGCGAGGAAUUACAAUACAAGUUGUAUUGGUAUUAUGAUGGUUAGUUUUUAGUUUGAUGCAUAUAUAUAUUCACAUGCCUCUUGUGACCUUAAAUCGGGUUCUAUAUAUAAACAUAUCUUGCAUAGGAUGCAACUAUUGGUAUAUCUAUAGGAUCAAUAUUUGGACUUGUUAAAUUUGGUUCUAUAUCAGCAUGUCUUGUAAAAGGUGCAACAUUGGUAUAUCUAUAUUAGGAACAUUUGGACUUUCUAU